UCUCUGUUUGGGUGAUUCUGUUGUUUUGGGCCCGAGAAAAUCAAAGAAAAGAAGAAAAAGUUGGAGGGAGGGAGGGAGGGAGGGAGGGCGACGAAAGAUGGAGGAGAGAGCAAAGUGCUUGGCAUUGCUCGGAGCCGGAGCUCUGGUAGGCUCUGUUUCCACCAUCUUUCUAUUGAAGCUUCGAGCGAGGGUGCAGUUACUGGGAAUGGAAAUAGUAGGAUGGCUGGUCUGGACCUUCUAAGUGAUGAGAUAGUUUCUGAACAAUUAAAGAGGAACAUUCAAUUCUUUGGACUUGAGCCUCAACAAAAAGUGACUGCAUCCUAUGUUGUGGUCAUUGGUCUUGGUGGAGUUGGAAGUCAUGCUGCAUCUAUGCUUUUGCGAUCAGGGAUUGGCAAGCUCCUCCUUGUGGACUUUGAUCAGGUAUCAGUUUCAUCACUUAAUCGACAUGCUGUUGCAACAAGAGCAGAUGUUGGUAUCCCAAAAGCACAGUGUCUGAAAGAGCAUUUCUUGUCAAUAUUCCCAGAGUGCCAGAUAGAAGCGAAAGUUCUAUUAUACGAUGCUUCAACAGAAGAGGAAAUUCUUUCAGGUCAUCCUGAUUUUGUUUUAGACUGUAUUGAUAACAUAGAUACAAAGGUGGCACUUCUUGCUGCGUGUGUACGUAGGGGUUUGAAGGUACUAUCGGCAACAGGAGCUGGUGCUAGAGCUGACCCCACCAGAAUACGCAUUGCUGAUUUAAGACAAUCAACAAAUGACCCAUUAUCACGAGCUGUAAGACACCGUUUGAGGAGGGAUCAUGGCAUUGAAGGUGGCAUUACUGUUGUAUUUUCAUUAGAGAAACCUAAGGCAAAGCUUCUUCCAUUUAAAGGACCAAGUGGAGAAGAAGAAAACCCUUCAGAUUAUCAGAUACUACCGGGGUUUAGGGUUCGCAUAAUACCUGUUCUGGGUACCAUCCCUGCAAUAUUUGGACAGGUCAUGGCCUCCUAUGUUUUGACACAACUGGCAGGAUUGCAAGUUCAAACGGAACCUAUUGUAAAUUUGGAUAUUGACCAUUACCGGAUGCUUCACCAACGCCUUAUUGAGCAUGAGGAGUCAUUGUACGGCACUGCCUUGCAAGUCCAGGUAGAUGUCGAGGAAGUGAUGUUUGUUGUAAAAGAGUUGUGGCAUGGAAGAAGUGCAAGAGAACCGUUUGCUAAAGAUGUUGGGCGUGGUAUGUGGCGAUCGGUAAAUGAGUUAAUGCUUGUGAGGUGGGACCAGGAAAAGCCAGCAUCUGUGGCCAACCUAAUUCUUCUGAAAUUUAAAGAGGCAGAAGAACAUGAAUCGAGAAUGCUUGAGGAUAUUAAAGAAAGAGAACCAGAAUAUUUUGUUAGAGUGACAUCUAUUCUGAAGCGGGCUGAACUAGAAUUUGGCUUGUAAAGGUUGAUUUUAAACCUUUUCAUUCUUGUUUUUGUUUUCAGAGGUGUAUCGAUA